ensembl:lncRNA
AUGGACAGGAGGUGGUUUCAAACUCACCGCCCGCGGUCCACGGUGCUGUUGGCAGACAUGCUGAAGCCAGAGGUCACGUGGAAGGUCAGCGCUCCCACGGUGAGGUUCACGCUGUGCGGCAGCGUGUUGAGGAACCUGAGGAGCCACAGGAGCUCCUGAGUGAGCUGAACUUCUGAAUGAACACAUGAAUGAUCAGAGGCCUCCUUUACCUCAGCAGAGGAUUCCCGUCUUGAUUCUUCCCGAUGUGGUCCGUCACCUAAACGAUCAACGGAUGAGUCAGUGGGAGCGCUGAGUAAAGACUUCACAUCACUGGGAGAUUUUACCCCAAACGAUGAGAAAUUAUAUCUGUAUCGUGUUUACGAAGGAAAGAUCAAUGUCGCGAUUAGAUAUUUAGCACUUUUAUGCUAUUUAUUGUUUAUUAUCAACGAGUCAGCAGGAAGAAGCCAUAUUUGGGCCCCUGAGCCCCUCAAAGCGUCCCCUGCUUUCUGGCCUAUUGGAGACCUGUCACUGUAGAACCAGGACCAGAGGAGUCUCCUCCUGGUGGACGUUAGAGAGAAUGCAGCUUUAACGCAUGAAGCUCUGGCUAAUCCUGGAGGUCCUCCUGGCGCCCCUCACCCGUGUGCAGCUGACCCCCGUGGCGUCCGGGUACAGGAUGAGGCUGUAGGCCUCCCGCUGCUCCGGCCUGAAGCUGCACUCAGACGGCCUCCCGCUGAAGGUGAGCUGGAGCUUCAGCUCGUCUCCGGAGGCCGAGAGGGUCUCGUAUGAGGGGGGGUCCUACAGCAGGGACACCAGAAGUCUGAAUAAUCACCAGCAGUGUUCGUUGUUUUAUUCCCUUAAACUCUGGAGGAGAAACUAAAUAAAUCAUCUGUAAACUCGUGUCUCAUAUUCAUAAACGACUUUAUUACCUUCACAUAAAGCCUGUAGAGAAACAAGGGAUGAGUGUUAUAAAGAAACAAAGUGUUCCUAAAACAUCUAACUAACUUUCUAUGUAAAAGUUUGAUUAGAUUCAACUUUAUUGUCACUGCACAGGGUACAAGUACUGAGGCAACGAAAUGCAGUUUAACAUCCAACAAGUGCAAAAUAGAGUAUGUGCAUAUGUUAAGUGUAGUAAGUGAAUAAAUAGAUAUGUACAGUAAGAAAUAGUUGUGCAAUAUGAACAGUAAGAAAUGGAUAUACAAUAACAAAGUUACAAAAUAACAUAAAUGUACGAGAAUCAACAUAAUUACUAAAAUAACUUUAUUAUACAAUUGUUUCCAAAGCUGAACCAUAAACUUCAUAUUGGUCUUUUAUAUUCAAACGUGACUUUUAUAAGUCGAUGCUUUUUAUUGUCUUUCACAUAGACGGUGUUUGUUGUUGUCGUGGUUACCUGGAGGCGAGGGACGGGGUCCGGGAAGGCGUCGCUGCCGGGGAUCUUCAGCAUCACGUCGCCGUCGGCAACGUUGAUCACCUGCAGCAGGAAGUUGCCCUCCGGCACCGGCGGCACCACCGACCGCUGCACAGCGCGCGCUCAUAUUUAAUACACGUACAUGUGUCCUGUGCGUGUACUUCUUUGACAACGUGGCGGGGGAUCUUAACGCACCACAACGUUCACCUCCACCAGCGUCGCCGCCACGAAGGCCAGCGCCGCAAAGAUCAUCCCGGUGGCCAUUUUCCUCAGAGGCCUGCGGCGACAAAGAGUCCUCGCUUUAACCCAGAGAAGAAGAACUGUGCCCUGAUUGGACGCAGCUGAACUCAAAUGACUCCUGAAAUGUGGGUGUUUCACAUGGACACGUUUACCUUGAGCGCUAAUGCUAAAGCUAAUGCUAACAAGGGGGCUACUCACGUGAUGUUGAUCUUGCAGAGGCCGACCAGCGGAUAGAUGGCGAGGUCGAAGACGGGGAUGAAGAGGAGGAUCAGCAGCGCGUUAAGCAUCUGGAGGGGAAACGAAGGGGGGGGGGUCACAGAGGUCAGAGGUCACAGUCAGACAGGAGCAUCCGUUUCUAAUAGCUGCUGUGAGAAGUGACUCCAACGUGCGGCAGAACAUUAAACAGAACGAUAUUUAAGAUCACGACAAGCCGGCCGAGAACAUUUUAUGGAUAAAUGGGAUUUUAUUCCAUUUAGAUUAAAAAAUGAAUGGAAUGGAGAUAGUUGUUGUUUAUGUUUGAAUGUUACAUUUGGACUCUCCAAACAAGGAGGUGAUUAGCUUAGCUUAGCUUAGCACGAGGACUGGACUGCAUGUAAAAGACAUAUGAUAUCUGCAUGUGUUUAAAUGAUGUAAUAUGAAGGCAACUACAAGAUAUUUGCAUCCAUUUGAAGAAUAUAACAUAAGAUAUUUGCAAAUAGGACCCACCUGCAGCUGGUCUGGCUUAAUAAUGAAGGAGUCUCCCUGAAAGACACCAAGAGGAAUUCAACUUAACACAUUCAAACAUUCACCAGAUGUGUCCCAAACGGCCUCAUUAAAGGUCUUCAAAGGGAUGAACGUGACAGGAUGUGCAGAGUUUGCACAGUAAUCCCACACAAGCAGGUUUAGGACCAUAAACAAGGAAUCUCAGUGGAAAAACAUCACGCUGACAGAAGGACCCGUGAUGAGUCUCGUAAAAGACGCUCAGAUCAGUUCAGGAGAAGAAGUGAAGAAGCUCUCACUACAGCCAUGUUCAUCCGGGUGGCUUGGAGCGUCCAGCGGGAACCCUGCAACACACAAACGGACACCCACCGUUAGCUUAGCCACCGCUAACCACAGCGGACCUCCUGAAGCCAGAGAGCAGCUCGACCUGCUCUUCUGUCAUGAAGCUUCUCUGUGUUUAAAUAUGCAAACUAGAUCUCAUAUUUGUCCUAAUUGUUAUACACUUCCAGAACAAAGUUCUUGUUUGACCUCGUUGACAUGUUACAGCCUUGUGUUUUUAAAGUAGGACUUUAGGAUCCUAAUAUUAUUCCAUAAAUAAAAUCAACAGAAAUGGAAAGUUUGAAGAAAAGGAUUCCUCGUGUUUCAGUAAUAAAAUGAAAGAAAACAAGUGAAAUGUGUUUUCAUGUUGCUUCGUCCAGCAGCCCUUUGUUUGGUCCUGAAUGAGACCAACAUUCCUGUGAAGGGACGGUUCCCACAGCUCAGAGGUUCUCCGCUCUUCACGUACCUGCUGGUCGUACAGAGCCCAGAACAUCGGCAACGGGAUGUAGAGGACCAGAACCCUCAGAACCAUCUUUAUCUCCUGGAUCAGACGCUUCUGUGAAACCACAACAGAUGUUCUAUCAAAGGAGAUCACCUGCGUGGCAAACCAACGUUCUCCUGAAGGAACUUCUAUCUGGUUUUGAACGGGGCUCCGUUGAGUCCUGAUCCUCUUUGAGACAGAAAGGACCCUGGUGGGAGGAGACACUACCACUCUAGUCCACAUUAAAGUAGCGGCAUCUAACAAAUAGGUGGACUUCCAGAUGAGGUCAUGAAUGUUACCGAGUACUUCUCCUCGGACCAGUCCAACCAGUGCUUCCUCUUGGAGUCGUUCUUCGACCUCCGCCAGCGGCUUUUGAUGGCGAACUGUAAACGGAAACAGAAUAACGGGAGUGAAACUGCAGCAGAUGCAACGGAUUACAUGACGUGAGAGACGACAGAAGAGAGGAAAUCAUGAGCUGUGACGGGAGAAGACUCACCGCGAUGCAGCUGCAGACCUCCAGCAGGAUGUUUCCCUGAGGAGGGUUCCUCUGGUACAGCCGGCUGCCACACAUGAACACGACUGCCACACACAGAGGAGGCGUCAGGAGGAGGAGAGAGGAGUCAGGAGGAAGAGUGAGGAGGAAGAGUGAGGAGUCAGGAGGAAGAGAGGAGUCAGGAGAAGGAGAGGAGUCAGGAAGAGUCAGAAGGAAGAGUCAGGAGGAGUAGAGAGGAGUCAGGAGGAAGAGUCAGGAGGAAGAGUGAGGAGGAAGAGUGAGGAGUCAGGAGGAAGAGAGGAGUCAGGAAGAGUCAGAAGGAAGAGUCAGGAGGAGGAGAGAGGAAGAGAGGAGUCAGGAGGAGGAGAGAGGAGGAGAGGAGUCAGGAGGAAGAGUCAGGAGUCAGGAGGAGGAGAGGAGUGAGGAGGA